GAUGAACGCUGGCGGCGUGCCUAAUACAUGCAAGUCGAGCGAACGGACGAGAAUCUUGCUUCUCUGAUGUUAGCGGCGGACGGGUGAGUAACACGUGGAUAACCUACCUAUAAGACUGGGAUAACUUCGGGAAACCGGAGCUAAUACCGGAUAAUAUUUUGAACCGCAUGGUUCAACAGUGAAAGACGGUCUUGCUGUCACUUAUAGAUGGAUCCGCGCUGCAUUAGCUAGUUGGUAAGGUAACGGCUUACCAAGGCAACGAUGCAUAGCCGACCUGAGAGGGUGAUCGGCCACACUGGAACUGAGACACGGUCCAGACUCCUACGGGAGGCAGCAGUAGGGAAUCUUCCGCAACGGGCGAAAGCCUGACGGAGCAACGCCGCGUGAGUGAUGAAGGUCUUCGGAUCGUAAAACUCUGUUAGUAGGGAAGAACAGAUGUGUAAGUAACUGUGCACAUCUUGACGGUACCUAAUCAGAAAGCCACGGCUAACUACGUG
rnacentral:rRNA from 1 species